UACGUAGGCGGAAAAUUAAGUCAGUAGUGAAAUCCUGCAGCUUAACUGUAGAACUGUUAUUGAUACUGGUUUUCUUGAAUAUAGUUGAGGUAGGCGGAAUGUGUAAUGUAGCGGUGAAAUGCUUAGAUAUUACACAGAACACCGAUUGCGAAGGCAGCUUACUAAGCUAUGAUUGACGCUGAGGCACGAAAGCGUGGGGAGCGAACAGGAUUAGAUACCCUGGUAGUC
rnacentral:rRNA from 1 species